UACAGAGGGUGCGAGCGUUAAUCGGAAUUACUGGGCGUAAAGGGCGCGUAGGUGGUUAUGUAAGAUUGAUGUGAAAUCCCUGGGCUUAACCUAGGAACUGCGUCGAUGACUGCAUAGCUGGAGUACUGUAGAGGGUAGUAGAAUUUCCGGUGUAGCGGUGAAAUGCGUAGAGAUCGGAAGGAAUACCAGUGGCGAAGGCGACUACCUGGACAGAUACUGACACUGAGGCGCGAAAGCGUGGGGAGCAAACAGG
rnacentral:rRNA from 1 species